GAUGAACGCUGGCGGCGUGCCUAAUACAUGCAAGUCGAGCGAACAGACGAGGAGCUUGCUCCUCUGACGUUAGCGGCGGACGGGUGAGUAACACAUGGAUAACCUACCUAUAAGACUGGGAUAACUUCGGGAAACCGGAGCUAAUACCGGAUAAUAUAUUGAACCGCAUGGUUCAAUAGUGAAAGACGGUUUUGCUGUCACUUAUAGAUGGAUCCGCGCCGCAUUAGCUAGUUGGUAAGGUAACGGCUUACCAAGGCAACGAUGCGUAGCCGACCUGAGAGGGUGAUCGGCCACACUGGAACUGAGACACGGUCCAGACUCCUACGGGAGGCAGCAGUAGGGAAUCUUCCGCAAUGGGCGAAAGCCCGACGGAGCAACGCCGCGUGAGUGAUGAAGGUCUUCGGAUCGUAAAACUCUGUUAUUAGGGAAGAACAAAUGUGUAAGUAACUAUGCACGUCUUGACGGUACCUAAUCAGAAAGCCACGGCGAACUACGU
rnacentral:rRNA from 1 species